GGUGUAGCGCCGGAUGAACGGAUAACUCUGAUGACGUUAAUUAAGGAGUCUUUACUCCCUACACCU
rnacentral:tRNA from 1 species